rnacentral:rRNA from 1 species
UAAUGUAUGGGGAUCUGCCCGAUAGAGGGGGAUAACUACUGGAAACGGUGGCUAAUACCGCAUAAUGUCUACGGCCAAAGCAGGGGCUCUUCGGACCUUGCACUAUCGGAUGAACCCAUAUGGGAUUAGCUAGUAGGUGGGGUAAAGGCUCACCUAGGCGACGAUCUCUAGCUGGUCUGAGAGGAUGAUCAGCCACACUGGGACUGAGACACGGCCCAG